rnacentral:rRNA from 1 species
AUUGAACGCUGGCGGCAGGCUUAACACAUGCAAGUCGAGCGGAGACUUCGGUCUUAGCGGCGAACGGGUGAGUAAUACCUAGGAAUCUGCCUAUUAGUGGGGGAUAACGAAUCGAAAGGUUCGCUAAUACCGCAUACGUCCUACGGGAGAAAGGGGGGAGUCUUCGGACCUCUCGCUAAUAGAUGAGCCUAGGCCGGAUUAGCUAGUUGGUAGGGUAAAGGCCUACCAAGGCGACGAUCUGUAGCUGGUCUGAGAGGAUGGCCAGCCACACUGGAACUGAGACACGGUCCAGACUCCUACGGGAGGCAGCAGUGGGGGAAUAUUGGACAAUGGGGGCAACCCUGAUCCAGCCAUGCCGCGUGUGUGAAGAAGGCC